AACAGUAAAAGGGUCACUCACUCACUCACUCACUCUUUCGCAAGCUUCUCUGUUUUCAAGUAAGUAUUGUAAUUUUAUUCUUUUGUUUUUCUUUCAUUUUACUCUCUCUCUCACUGUCCAAAACACUUAUCCUAUGCCUCUUUGUCUGACCAAUGUAGUAUUGUUGAAAUGGCUGCUGAGCAAGACAGAGGGAGAGCAGAGGAUGUUAUUUUCAUAGCAGACAUGCUUCUUGCUCAAAUCAAGGCAAAGGAACCCAAGGGCAAAGCAACAGCCAUUAAAGGGAGUACAUUUAAUGUCAGAUAGGUGGAGAAAAUGCUGAAGGACGUCCACUACUAAAAAGCAGCAGAAGUGAAGAGAUACAAAGCUUCAGCUACAGUCUGUUUAUUGCCUACAGUGAGACCUCCACAUUUCUGCACUUGUGAUCAUGCAAACAUCCAGUGUAGAGCACUUCACCUGCCCGGCAUGUACACCCAACAAUGCUCGCUCUUUGUGCAGAUGGCAACAGAAAAACCUACAGAUUCCGUCAGUCAAAAGAAAGGAGCUUCAAGCAGCCACAAACAGAGAGUUCUUUUGAACAGAUAUUGCUUGCAAGUAUUGGCCAUACCUUGAGAAGGCGUCAGUCUCCAUGUUGGAACUCAGACCUUUACUGCAGAUGAGACCUUUCCUUUCUGUCAUGCAUGCCAAGGCUCAUUCAACCAAGUGUCAGGUGUCACACAUUUGUUAGAUAAUCUGGCAAAAAUCAGGAAGGUGCUGGUACAACUGCAGUUGAGGGGGUCAAAAUGGUCAACAGCUAUCUGUCUCGUUGUGGCCUCACAACCAAGUAUCUAAUUGAUGCCUAUUUAUAAUAUUUUAGGAAACCUGUCUUUAUUUUUUCACUUUUUUAUUCUUUCUGUCUAGUACUUUGAGAUUGCAUAAGAGUAAGCUGUAACUGUUCAAAGUACAUAAAAAAUUGGCAUGUAGUUCUCUCUUAAAUUUUAAACUCAAUUGUCAGUUUCUGGAUUAAUUGAAAUAACACAAGCAUUAAUGGGACCUUUCUUCCUUCAUCACAUACAUGUCUUGUUAAUAGCCAGGAAUGACAUGCUAACUGUCCAUGCUAUUGGGUGGAACCAACGGAAGCAAGAAGGCCUUCAGCAUUAUCCAGCAGAUACAUCAAGAAAGGCUGAGUCUCAGAGACGGGAAGAUUUGAGCAGUGAACUGGGGUGUCCGGAGAACAUUGUGAAUCAGUGGGUACAAGAUGUCAGACAAAAGGCUACUGAUGGAUUUGGUAGGUACCAGAUGUGAUGACCUACAUAACCUUCAGAAAUUAAUUGAACAAAUGUUUCUUAGUCUUCAUCGAAAAGCCAGCCUUUAUAAUCACACUGAAUCCAGCAACACCCUCACCAAGAAGAUUUUUUUGAUGUAUACAUGUCAAAAGUGCGCCUUCAAGAAGCAAAGAUCAUUGUGAUGAGGGAGAUGAGACACCACUGCACUGCACCUAUCUCAGAAGCCUGGCUAGGAACAUCAGGAAAAUGAUUUCAGAAAUGUCUUCAGGCAAAAACAGUGGCAGUUUAAGUGAAGAGUGUCAUCGCUGGCUACUGUGUCGUCUUCAGAAAAGGCUUGCAGAUGUAGAGAAGAAGUUCUAAGUUUGCUCAAGUUACAGCCAGGCUUUAGGACAGUGUUCUUCACUCCCAACCCUGGAGAGCCGGUGUCCUGCAGACUUUAGCUCCAACCUUAAUCAAACACACAAUGUCUUCAU